CACCGUGCAUCGUGGUCUGCGGAGCUGCUGUUUCCUAGCUCUCAGCCGGCUGAGUCACGGCCCUUCCAGGCCCGGCCUGGCGAGGACGCGCGCCCGCCGCCCCGAAGCAGCUGCCACCCGGGCCUUGGGACCUCUGCACUUGACUUUUUCCAGCGGCACAAAGCCUUUUGCUGUUGCCGUAGCGACUGGCAGCCUAGCUAAGACCGCCUUCACUUUCUAUACCCCUCCUUUCCUAGCUCAUUCUUUUCUUAUUUUAGGGUCUGUCCGAUGACCCUAUAGGUCGGGCUUGGAGGGCGCCGGCUCUCUGGCAACAGACUGCCCUCCUCUGGGCGCUGGGCGGCCGGCUGCCUCCAAGGCUGGGGCGGCCUCCGCAGUCUCCAUGGUAACGGCCCAGACGGCGUCUCCGCCUCGGGGGGAAGAUGAGGCCUGCCUGGCCCGUCGCCACGCCCCCGGCCUCAUGGCCGGGCCGGGGCCACUGAGGAGGAAGGUCCCGGCCGCCGGACUGCGGGCAAGCGGGUACCAGUGAAAUCCCCUUCUCUGGCUGGAGACACAGAUGGCCUCAAAUGAGAGAGAUGCUAUAUCGUGGUACCAAAAGAAGAUUGGAGCAUAUGAUCAGCAGAUAUGGGAAAAAUCAAUCGAACAGACUCAGAUUAAGGGCUUCAAAAACAAACCAAAAAAGAUGGGUCACAUAAAGGCAGACUUGAUUGAUGUUGACUUAAUCAGAGGCUCAACAUUUGCCAAAGCCAAACCCGAAAUUCCGUGGACAUCUCUGACUCGGAAGGGGCUUGUUCGAGUUGUAUUUUUUCCAUUUUUCAGCAAUUGGUGGAUUCAAGUUACCUCUUUAAGAAUCUUUGUUUGGCUGCUACUGCUUUACCUCAUGCAAGUUAUAGCACUCGUGUUCUAUUUUAUGAUGCCUAUUGUGAAUGUAAGUGAAGUACUUGGACCCUUGUGCCUUAUGUUACUCAUGGGAACUGUCCACUGUCAAAUUGUAUCUACUCAGAUAACAAGGCCAUCAGGAAACAAUGGAAAUCGGAGAAGAAGAAAAUUACGAAAAACUGUAAAUGGUGAUGGGAGCCGAGAAAAUGGAAAUAACUCCUCUGAUAAAGCCAGAGGAACAGUAACUUUGGAAUCUGCACUCUUUAAUGGUGGUUUCUGGGGGACUCUCUUUGGCAACAGGAUGAAAAGAGUAAAAUUAAUAUGUAGCAAAGGGACAAAGACUGACAAUGACUCAGGUUGUCUGCAUCCUAUCAUCAAGAAGAGACAGUGUCGACCAGAGAUUAGAAUGUGGCAAACAAGAGAGAAAGCAAAAUUUUCAGAUGGAGAAAAGGGAUGCAGGGAGCCGUUUGGGCGUUUGGACAAUGGGAUUUCAGAUGAUCUGUCGAGUGAGGAUGAUGGUGAAGCCUGGACACAGAUGAUGACACUGCGGAGGAGCGUGGAAGGGGCCUCAAGUGACAAUGGCUGUGAAGUUAAGAAUAGGAAAUCAAUACUUUCAAGGCACCUAAACACUCGGGUGAAGAAGACCACUUCCAAGUGGUGUCCCGUUGUGCGGGAUUCAGACAGUCUGGCUGAAUCAGAGUUUGAAUCGGCAGCCUUCAGUCAGGGCUGUAGAUCUGGCAUGAGUGGUGGCUCUCGAAGCCUCAACAUGUUGAGAAGAGACUCGGAGAGCACCCGUCAUGACUCGGAGACAGAGGAUAUGUUAUGGGAUGACCUGCUGCACGGCCCCGAGUGCCGGUCGUCUGUCACCAGCGACAGUGAGGGGGCCCACGUGAACUCCCUUCACUCAGGGACCAAACGUGACCCCAAAGAGGAUGUUUUUCAGCAGAACCAUUUAUUCUGGCUUCAGAACUCAAGUCCUGCCUCUGAUCGAGUUAGUGCAAUAAUCUGGGAAGGGAAUGAGUGCAAAAAGAUGGAUAUGUCUGUAUUGGAAAUAAGUGGUAUCAUCAUGAGCAGGGUUAAUGCGUAUCAGCAAGGAGUAGGUUAUCAGAUGCUGGGAAAUGUCGUCACCAUCGGAUUAGCAUUUUUCCCUUUUUUACAUCGACUGUUCCGAGAGAAGAGCCUUGACCAGCUAAAGUCCAUCUCAGCUGAGGAGAUCUUGACUCUCUUUUGUGGGGCACCACCUGUUACACCUAUUAUUAUUUUGUCUAUAAUUAAUUUUUUUGAACGACUGUGUCUUACUUGGAUGUUUUUUUUCAUGAUGUGUGUGGCGGAGAGAACAUACAAACAGAGAUUUUUAUUUGCAAAACUCUUCAGCCAUAUUACUUCUGCCAGGAAAGCUAGGAAAUAUGAAAUACCUCAUUUCAGACUUAAAAAGGUGGAGAACAUUAAGAUAUGGUUAUCACUGCGUUCCUUUUUAAAGAGACGGGGCCCACAGCGAUCAGUGGACGUGGUUGUGUCUUCUGUCUUCCUACUGACACUUUCCAUUGCUUUCAUUUGUUGUGCCCAGGUCUUUGUUGCUGCGUGCGGGCUUUCUCUAGUUGCGGUUCUCCGGGGACAUAAAACUUUCCUAAAUGAUGCUUAUAAUUGGGAGUUUUUGAUCUGGGAAUCAGCUUUACUACUUUUCUUACUGCGCUUAGCCUCACUGGGGUCUGAAACCAAUAAGAAAUACAGCAAUGUCUCAAUAUUACUUACUGAACAGAUUAAUUUAUAUCUUAAAAUGGAAAAAAAGCCGAAUAAGAAAGAACAGCUUACUCUAGUAAACAAUGUAUUAAAGCUGUCCACCAAGUUGUUGAAAGAGCUGGACACACCAUUUAGACUCUAUGGACUGACAAUGAAUCCCUUGAUCUACAAUAUCACACGAGUAGUUAUCCUUUCGGCUGUCUCAGGUGUUAUAAGUGAUCUUCUAGGAUUUAAUAUAAGACUGUGGAAAAUUAAGUCAUAAGCUGAGUCAUGUGCCCGGCCUUUCUCCCCUUGCUGGCAUCAGUGCUUAACCCAUUAAGGAAAGAAAUGACUGCAAACCCAUGAGACACCCACCUGCUUGUUCACACGGAGAGGUGCCCUCAGUUCUACCUAAUCUAACGAAUGGUGUUUUCAGAGGAACAGAGCCUUUUCCAACUGGACUGAGCCUCCUUUGUGCUUAGCUGGAUUACUGUGCUGACCCUCGGUUCCCAUCCCAUUCUUGCCUUUGCAGUCGGUUCUCCACAGCCAUGUGAGUGAGCUUAAAAAUAUGGAGACUAUAUCAUUCCUACUUAAAUCUUUCCUGACUUUCCCUAUGCUGGCCUCCAAGGCCCUUCAUUAUCAGGCCUGCUUCCCUUUCCAAAUUCCCCUCCUCAGUACCUGACAGCCACACCGGCCUCCCUGUGUUCCUCCGUUAUACCAAGUUCUUUCUUAUUUCAGACUGUGCCUGGAAUAUGUUUUCUUAAGUUCUCCCCUGAAUGGCUUCUCAGCUGUCAAUUCCUUAGCAGGACCUUCUCUGAGUUAAAGUUGUUCCCCAUCUUAUCCUUGUUAUCAAUUAUAUAUGGUCCUGUUCAUUUCCUUCAUGGCACUUAACAGAAUGAUUAUCUUGUUUAUUUUUUGCCUACUUGUUUCUGUCCUUCCCCACUAGAAUAUAAGUCCCUUAAGGCAGGAAUUUUUGUUGUUGUUGUUUUUCA